rnacentral:rRNA from 1 species
GAUGAACGCUGGCGGCGUGCCUAACACAUGCAAGUCGAGCGAUCUUCUUCGGAAGAGAGCGGCGGACGGGUGAGUAACGCGUGGGUAACCUGCCCUGUACACACGGAUAACAUACCGAAAGGUAUGCUAAUACGAGAUAAUAUGCUUUUAUCGCAUGGUAGAAGUAUCAAAGCUCCGGCGGUACAGGAUGGACCCGCGUCUGAUUAGCUAGUUGGUAAGGUAACGGCUUACCAAGGCGACGAUCAGUAGCCGACCUGAGAGGGUGAUCGGCCACAUUGGAACUGAGACACGGUCCAAACUCCUACGGGAGGCAGCAGUGGGGAAUAUUGCACAAUGGGCGAAAGCCUGAUGCAGCAACGCCGCGUGAGCGAUGAAGGCCUUCGGGUCGUAAAGCUCUGUCCUCAAGGAAGAUAAUGACGGUACUUGAGGAGGAAGCCCCGGCUAACUACGUGCCAGCCGCCGCAGUAAAAC